rnacentral:rRNA from 1 species
UACGUAGGGUGCGAGCGUUAAUCGGAAUUACUGGGCGUAAAGCGUGCGCAGGCGGUUUUGUAAGCCAGAUGUGAAAUCCCCGGGCUUAACCUGGGAAUGGCAUUUGGGACUGCAAGGCUUGAGUUUGGCAGAGGAGACUGGAAUUCCUGGUGUAGCAGUGAAAUGCGUAGAUAUCAGGAAGAACACCAAUGGCGAAGGCAGCUCUCUGGGACGGUACUGACGCUGAGACGCGAAAGCGUGGGGAGCGAACAGG